GGAGGAGGGCGGAGGAGGAGGAGCAGGAGGAGGACUACGCGGGGCGCGUUCCCUCCCAGCAGCCGGGCGCCCGCGUCGCUGCCGCCGCCGGAAGACUGACGCCCCCCAAAGCCCCUCGCCUGGCUCGGACCCACGGAGCCGGCAGCCCAGCACUCCGGAAGGAGCAUUAAGACCGAGAGGGAUUUUGCAGCUGCAGGACACAUGGCCCUGUCCUCAGAAGCCCCAGUCUGAGAUGAGAAGCACAACCCUGGCCUUGGGAGCCCUCAAACCCAGAGGUGAGGUCUAGAACCCAGGCUGGGCGUGUGCUGAGGUUCAGGUGGGGAGUGGGUGGUGCUGGGUGGCUGUCCUGUGACGGCCUUCUGAAGCAAAGGCUGUGGCGAGGGGGAGGCCAGAGGAUGGGGAGUGGUUUGCCUAGGG